rnacentral:rRNA from 1 species
AUUGAACGCUGGCGGCAGGCCUAACACAUGCAAGUCGAGCGGAGCGGCUGACGGGUGAGUAAUGCCUAGGAAUCUGCCUGGUAGUGGGGGAUAACGUCCGUAAACGGGCGCUAAUACCGCAUACUAUCAGAUGAGCCUAGGUCGGAUUAGCUAGUUGGUGGGGUAAAGGCCUACCAAGGCGACGAUCCGUAACUGGUCUGAGAGGAGGAUCAGUAAAAAUGGAACGGAGACACGGUCCAAACUCCUACGGGAGGAAGCAGUGGGGAAUAUUGGACAAUGGGGGAAAGCCGGAUCCAGACAUGCCGCGUGUGGGAAGAAGGUCUUCGGAUUGAAAAGCACUUUAAGUUAGGAGGCGUUACCAACAGAAUAAGGACCGGCUAACUUCGUGCCAGCAGCCGCGGUAAUUC